rnacentral:lncRNA from 1 species
GUUGAUUCUUCCACUUCCAGCAUCCCAUAGAUAAAGAUCAAUCCCUUGUUCCAAAUCCCAGCUGAAUCUAGCCUUCAUCGCCCAUGGAUAAAGCCAGGCUUCCGCUCAUCUCACGCAUGCCCUCCUCCCCUUCAUCCACAUCGAGUUCAUCUUUAUCCCAUCUCCCAACCAACUCCAGCUCUCAUCCACGAAUUCCUCCCGGCCGUAAACAUCACUCCCUGAUUUUUAUCCAACGCCCGAGCUGCCGAAUUCCAUGGAUCAUCUCCCCUGUUCCCAACCAAAUCGAGUUCAUCCUCCCGUGAUCCACUCAUCUCCUAGCUUCAUCUCUUCCUAAUUCCUUUGCGUUCGUCCCAGCUACAUCCAUUCGCAUCAGCCGUAUCCAUUGAUCCCAGCUCCUCCCAGCUGAGAUCCCAACGUCUCACCCAUUGCAUCCACGCUUCAUCAUCUUCAGUGUCCCAUGAACAGAACCAAGCCAACAAUCACCCAAAUCCCAUGCUCUCCGCAUUCCUCCCGUGUCUUCAUCUCCAAAGCUUCCGGAACAGCUCCAUCCUUCCACGUUAUUCUCCCGAGCUUCACGGCAUCCCCUGCAUCCAAUAGAUUCAUCUUCAUCUCAUUCUUCAUCCGCAUGAAGCCAUAUUCAACCACCUACGGAUAGCUUCCAGCUCAUCUUUACUUCAUCCCAUUGUGAUCCAUCCUUAUCCACGGAUUUGAUCAAUGGCAUCAUCACCAAACUCCCAGCCGGAUGAGCAUCCCAUCUUUCUCCGCUAGAUUCCACGCUCAUCCCGUUCGUGAUCAUCAACAUCCUUAUCCUCUUCCGCAUCUCCUGCUCCCAAUCUUCUUCACGGAUUAGCUGCCCAUCCGGGUAUCCCGUAGCCAGCCGGGAGGAGCAUCCACAAACUUCCCAGCAAAUUUCAUUAUCCACGAACGGCUUCACGCGUCUUCUCCUUUGAUCCGCAUCCCAGCAGCCGGAUCCAAGAUCCGAACCACAGCAGUCCAGCGAAUCAGGCCAAACUUCAUCCCAAUAGCAAAGGGUUCAUCCUUAUCCAUGAUUCAAAAUAAGGAAGAGGAAAGAGAGAUUGGAGCCUAUAAAAGGCCAGGCGUGAAACAGGGGAGGAAACUUCGGGUGGGGGGAUACACUUCUCUUUGGCAACUCCUUGGAAGAUAUUACUUGAAGAGGGAGAAUGGUUUGGGUAUUCUGGGAAUGAUCUCCCAGAAGAGCUAAGAGGGAGCCAUUUUCAGUAGAGGCUCCACCGGAAGAAGAUGUCGAAGAGAUGGAGGUAGCCGUGGUGGAAGUUCACUACAGUGCUGCUGCCGUUCACCACUGCAUGGAAGCCUAAUCUCUUCAUUAGGGCUGGAUGCAGCCCUAACAAAGGAAGACGGGUUUUAUUUAUUUAAUUUCAUGUUCUUGGAAUUGUAUAGACAUUCUUGUUCUUAAUAAAUAUCCUUUUACCUCAUGCUUAAA